rnacentral:rRNA from 1 species
GAUGAACGCUGGCGGCGUGCCUAAUACAUGCAAGUCGAGCGAACAGACGAGGAGCUUGCUCCUCUGACGUUAGCGGCGGACGGGUGAGUAACACGUGGAUAACCUACCUAUAAGACUGGGAUAACUUCGGGAAACCGGAGCUAAUACCGGAUAAUAUAUUGAACCGCAUGGUUCAAUAGUGAAAGACGGUUUUGCUGUCACUUAUAGAUGGAUCCGCGCCGCAUUAGCUAGUUGGUAAGGUAACGGCUUACCAAGGCGACGAUGCGUAGCCGACCUGAGAGGGUGAUCGGCCACACUGGAACUGAGACACGGUCCAGACUCCUACGGGAGGCAGCAGUAGGGAAUCUUCCGCAAUGGGCGAAAGCCUGACGGAGCAACGCCCCGUGAGUGAUGAAGGUCUUCGGAUCGUAAAACUCUGUUAUUAGGGAAGAACAAAUGUGUAAGUAACUAUGCACGUCUUGACGGUACCUAAUCAGAAAGCCACGGCUAACUACGUG